GGAUAACCCGGAGAAAUCCGGCCUAAUACCGCGUAACACCUUUUGGGAGCAUUCCCGGGAGGUUAAAGGAGAGAUCCGGCAUAGGAUGGACAUGCGUCGCAUUAGGUAGACGGCGGGGUAACGGCCCACCGUGCCGACGAUGCGUAGGGGUUCUGAGAGGAAGGCCCCCCACACUGGUACUGAGACACGGACCAGACUCCUACGGGAGGCAGCAGUGAGGAAUAUUGGUCAAUGGCCGAGAGGCUGAACCAGCCAAGUCGCGUGAGGGAAGAAUGUCCUAAGGAUUGUAAACCUCUUUUGUCGGGGAGCAAAAAGGCUCAGCGGAGUCGUAUUGAGAGUACCCGAAGAAAAAGCAUCGGCUAACUCCGUGCCAGCAGCCGCGGUAAUACGGAGGAUGCGAGCGUUAUCCGGAUUUAUUGGGUUUAAAGGGUGCGCAGGCGGCGUGUCAAGCAAGCGGUAAAAUAGCGGGGCUCAACCCCGUCGAGCCGUUUGAACUGGCGCGCUUGAGUUCAGGCGAGGUAGGCGGAAUUCGUGGUGUAGCGGUGAAAUGCAUAGAUAUCACGAAGAACUCCGAUUGCGAAGGCAGCUUACCAGUCUGCGACUGACGCUCAGGCACGAAAGUGUGGGUAUCGAACAGGAUUAGAUACCCUGGUAGUCCACACAGUAAACGAUGAGCGCUAGGUGUCCGGGUCGCAUGAGACUUGGGU
rnacentral:rRNA from 1 species